CCUGAAGGGAGUGCGGUCAAUCGUGGAUGAAAAAGGCAUGGCGUGGCUGCAGGAGCAGUUGGGGGCACCGAGCACGUCUGCUUCCCCCCAUGCGGUGGCUGACUGGCGGCCAGAAAGGAGAUCAAGGCCGCCCCAGCGGCUCAGCCCAGGACCUGGGCCAACAGCGUGGAGGAAGAGGAGAGCGGAUGAGGGCAGUGUGGC